GACGAACGCUGGUGGCGUGCUUAACGCAUGCAAGUCGAACGGGAUUUAGUAAACAGAAGCCUCGGUGGAAGAUUACUAAUGAGAGUGGCGAACGGGUGAGUAACGCGUGAGCAACCUGCCUAUGACAGUGGGAUAGCCUCGGGAAACCGGGAUUAAUACCGCAUAAAAUCGUAGAAACACAUGUUUUAACGGUCAAAGAUUUAUCGGUCAUAGAUGGGCUCGCGUCUGAUUAGCUAGUUGGUGAGAUAACAGCCCACCAAGGCGACGAUCAGUAGCCGGUCUGAGAGGAUGAACGGCCACAUUGGAACUGAGACACGGUCCAAACUCCUACGGGAGGCAGCAGUGGGGAAUAUUGCACAAUGGGGGAAACCCUGAUGCAGCGACGCCGCGUGAACGAAGAAGGUAUUCGUAUCGUAAAGUUCUGUCCUAUGGGAAGAUAAUGACAGUACCAUAGAAGAAAGCUCCGGCUAAAUACGUG
rnacentral:rRNA from 1 species